UGCAAUCCCUGACGAGGCAACAGCUAGGGUGAUGCCACGGUUACUCCUUACUUUAGCCAACAGCAAAUUAAUAAGGAAAGUCUUACCGGUGCCGCCAGGAGCAUCCAAGAAAAAUAUUUGCCCAUUUCCUUCCUCAAUACUGCCAAGGAUCUGCUGGUAAACGUACUCUACAAAAUUUUCUGAUUUUAAACGAAUGUCAAUUUCUUCUUUUUGACAAUGUGCUCAGUAUCUUGAGGCCCUCGUUGACUCUUCUGAAGACCUACAUGAGGAAGCCAAUUCCACCUGUGGUUAGGCUCCUGAUCACAUUAAGGGAUUAUUAACAAAGGACUGACUAUUACUUACUCUCUGAGCUCUCUGCCUGGAGCCAGAAACAACAGCUGCUGGAAAUAUUUGUAUUUUUUCGGUGUUGUUGCUCCACUCCCACUAGCUCCAUGCUUGUUAUAUUCCUUGCAGAAUCGAUCACGCAGGGAUCACCAUCUUUUAGUCACAGCUUCCUCUACAAAGUUAACCAAAAUAUACUAUAUGGACAUGUUUGUGGAAUAUUGAAUGAAUUCUCAAUUUUAACUCAAGUGAUGAAAAAACAUUACAAGUCUCAGCAAUGAAAGAUGACUAACAAGGGAUACUUGACAUUUCUAUGCUCUGGUCUGUACUUGUUUUUUUAGUAGAAUUUUUUUCUUUUUUAUAAAUUUGCAUUGUCGUCAUCAUUGUACACAUGCCUGGACUAGGAGAAUGUACAUCAUCCUGGGACAGUGUUGGUUAAUGGGCCACAACAAACUGUAUUCACAUUUCUCACACUCGAGAAACCACACAUGUUACUCCCCUAUUACAUUUUUUAAAGCUUGAACA